rnacentral:rRNA from 1 species
GACGAACGCUGGCGGCGUGGUUAGACAUGCAAGUCGAACGAAGAAAGCUCCUUCNGGGAGGUGGACAGUGGCGCACGGGUGAGUAACACGUGAGCAAUCUGCCCGGAAGCCCGGAAUAGCCCUCGGAGAGGAGGAUUAAUGCCGGAUGUGGCCAACCCGCGAUUGCGGGUGACGCUAAAGAUUUAUCGCUUCUGAGAGGAGCUCGCGGCCCAUCAGCUUGUUGGUGAGGGUAACGGCCCACCAAGGCGGUGACGGGUAGCUGGUCUGAGAGGAUGGUCAGCCACACUGGAACUGAGACACGGUCCAGACACCUACGGGUGGCAGCAGUCGAGAAUCAUUCGCAAUGGGGGCAACCCUGACGAUGCGACGCCGCGUGAAGGAUGAAGGCCCUAGGGUUGUAAACUUCUGUCAAGAGGGAAUAAGCAAGUGAAGGUACCUCUAGAGGAAGGGGCGGCUAAUUCCGUGCCAGCAGCCGCGGUAACACGGAAGCCCCGAGCGUUGUUCGGAUUUAUUGGGCGUAAAGGGUGCGUAGGCGGCGCGGAAAGUCUGGUGUGAAAGGCAGGGGCUCAACCCCUGGACUGCACUGGAUACUCCCGUGCUUGAGGACUGGAGGGGAGACUGGAAUUCACGGUGUAGCAGUGAAAUGCGUAGAUUUCGUGAGGAAGACCGGUGGCGAAGGCGAGUCUCUGGACAGUUCCUGACGCUGAGGCACGAAGGCUGGGGUAGCGAACAGGAUUAGAUACCCUGGUAGUCCCAGCAGUAAACGAUGUGAGCUUGAUGUGGGGGGAUUCGACCCCUUCCGUGUCGAAGUUAACGCGAUAAGCUCACCGCCUGAGGAGUACCGAUCGCAGGAUUAAAACUCCAAGAAAUUGACGGGGACCCGCACAAGCGGUGGAGUAUGUGGCUUA